GUUUAAUUAAAAAUGCGCGCGGAAUUGUUUCAAAUGACGCCAUCUGACAUGCUCUUUUUGCAUUUACAAAAAGCAAGUUAGUUGACCUGUGAUGUCAAUAAAUAGUUGUAUACAUCAAUUGGCGUGUCAUACUUGCGACAACAAGAGUUCGAAUUUUAUUAGGACGAAAUGGAUUAGGAGCAGUGUUUGUAACAUCCUCGUUUAAAUGCUGGAGCAGGUUACGUGCGUCGGUGUAACGAACGGUUAAACGUCCUCUUGAUUUCCGUGUCGUCAGAUGAAAUAUGCGGACGACGUGUUGCGGCAAUUUGUUAUUUAUCGCUGUAGUAAACAAACAAGUAUUCUACGGUACUCUUCGAACGAGCUUCAGCGCAUGGAAUUCUCGAUCGUUACGCUACAUUUGUGUGAAACUCUUAAUUAAAUGUUAUACCGAUUAUUUUCAAGAAAUUAACUUGGACGGCGGCUGGUGAAAUUAAUCAAAUUGAAAAUUGACUUGAUUUAUUGGAGGUCGAGGAGAGGAUUAUUAAUUAGCAUCACCACGUGCAAUUAAACUUCCAUUAAUAAAAUACCAUGGGAAUUGGC